UAAACGAUGGAUACUAGGUGUGGGGCCCGAUAGGGUUCCGUGCCGAAGCAAACGCAUUAAGUAUCCCGCCUGGGGAGUACGAUCGCAAGGUUGAAACUCAAAGGAAUUGACGGGGGCCCGCACAAGCAGCGGAGCAUGUGGUUUAAUUCGAAGCAACGCGAAGAACCUUACCAAGGCUUGACAUCCUCUGACGCCUGUAGAGAUACAGGUUCCCUUCGGGGCAGAGAGACAGGUGGUGCAUGGUUGUCGUCAGCUCGUGUCGUGAGAUGUUGGGUUAAGUCCCGCAACGAGCGCAACCCUUAUUGCUAGUUGCCAGCACGUUAUGGUGGGAACUCUAGUGAGACUGCCGGGGACAACUCGGAGGAAGGUGGGGACGACGUCAAAUCAUCAUGCCCCUUAUGUCUUGGGCUACACACGUGCUACAAUGGCCGGUACAAAGGGCAGCGAAGCCGUAAGGCGGAGCGAAUCUCAAAAAGCCGGUCCCAGUUCGGAUUGUGGGCUGCAACCCGCCCACAUGAAGUCGGAGUUGCUAGUAAUCGCGAAUCAGCAUGUCGCG
rnacentral:rRNA from 1 species